ACCUCCUUCUCCUCCUCUCAGAGAAGCCCUACCCCUCUUGAGUUUAAGUCCAUCAAGGGAUGACAAAGACCAAGAACAAGAAGGUGAAGAUGAAAAUCAAGAACAAGUAAGUUGCACUGCUAUGGAUGUGGACAAGAUCAACAAUAUAAACAAGGCCAAAGAUCAUGGGAGUUUCUUUUCUUCUAGUGCUGGUAGUGAUACCAAUGAAGAUGAGACUGUUACUGUUGCACUGCAUAUAGGGUUGCCAAGCCCUAGUGCUGCAGAGAUGGCCUCUGUCUUGUCUUCUUCUUCGGAGGUUACUGACAAAGAUGGAGAUGGUGAUGAUUCUGGGUUCCCCUUUAGCAGGCUCAAUAAGGGUCAGUAUUGGAUCCCUACCCCUACCCAGAUUCUGAUUGGUCCUACUCAGUU
rnacentral:misc_RNA from 1 species